GUUGGUGUGGUGUAAAUGGCAGCACGUCUGUUUUUGCCAAAGAGGAGGUGCGGGUUCGAUCCCCGUCGCUGACA
rnacentral:tRNA from 1 species